CCUACGGGAGGCAGCGGUGGGGAAUAUUGGGCAAUGGGCGAAAGCCUGACCCAGCAAUACCGCGUGAAUGAAGAAGGUCUUCGGAUCGUAAAAUUCUGUCCUAUGGGAAGAAAAAAAUGACGGUACCAUAGGACGAAGCCUCGGCUAACUACGUGCCAGCAGCCGCGGUAAUACGUAGGGGGCGAGCGUUGUCCGGAAUUACUGGGCGGAAAUAGAGCGUAUGCGGCACUACAAGUAUAAGGCGAAAUACCCGGGCUUAACUUGGGGGUUGGAUGGGAAACUGUAGAGCUUGAGUACAGGAGAGGCGAGCGGAAGUCCUAGUGUAGCGGUGAAAUGCAUAGAUAUAAGGAGGAACACCAGUGGCGAAGGCGGCUUGCUGGACUGAAACUGACGCUGAGGCUCGAAAGCGUGGGGAGCAAACAGGAUUAGAUACCCUUGUAGUC
rnacentral:rRNA from 1 species